rnacentral:rRNA from 1 species
UGAGGAAUAUUGGUCAAUGGGCGCGAGCCUGAACCAGCCAAGUCGCGUGAGGGAUGACGGCCCUACGGGUUGUAAACCUCUUUUGUCGGGGAGCAAAUUCCGUUACGUGUAACGGAGUCGAGAGUACCCGAAGAAAAAGCAUCGGCUAACUCCGUGCCAGCAGCCGCGGUAAUACGGAGGAUGCGAGCGUUAUCCGGAUUUAUUGGGUUUAAAGGGUGCGUAGGCGGACUGUCAAGUCAGCGGUAAAAUACGGGGGCUCAACCUCCGCCCGCCGUUGAAACUGACGGUCUUGAGUGGGCGAGAAGUAUGCGGAAUGCGUGGUGUAGCGGUGAAAUGCAUAGAUAUCACGCAGAACUCCGAUUGCGAAGGCAGCAUACCGGCGCCCAACUGACGCUGAAGCACGAAAGCGUGGGUAUCGAACAGG